CAGUCGAGCGGACAGAUGGGAGCUUGCUCCCUGAUGUUAGCGGCGGACGGGUGAGUAACACGUGGGUAACCUGCCUGUAAGACUGGGAUAACUCCGGGAAACCGGGGCUAAUACCGGAUGGUUGUUUGAACCGCAUGGUUCAAACAUAAAAGGUGGCUUCGGCUACCACUUACAGAUGGACCCGCGGCGCAUUAGCUAGUUGGUGAGGUAAUGGCUCACCAAGGCAACGAUGCGUAGCCGACCUGAGAGGGUGAUCGGCCACACUGGGACUGAGACACGGCCCAGACUCCUACGGGAGGCAGCAGUAGGGAAUCUUCCGCAAUGGACGAAAGUCUGACGGAGCAACGCCGCGUGAGUGAUGAAGGUUUUCGGAUCGUAAAGCUCUGUUGUUAGGGAAGAACAAGUACCGUUCGAAUAGGGCGGUACCUUGACGGUACCUAACCAGAAAGCCACGGCUAACUACGUGCCAGCAGCCGCGGUAAUACGUAGGUGGCAAGCGUUGUCCGGAAUUAUUGGGCGUAAAGGGCUCGCAGGCGGUUUCUUAAGUCUGAUGUGAAAGCCCCCGGCUCAACCGGGGAGGGUCAUUGGAAACUGGGGAACUUGAGUGCAGAAGAGGAGAGUGGAAUUCCACGUGUAGCGGUGAAAUGCGUAGAGAUGUGGAGGAACACCAGUGGCGAAGGCGACUCUCUGGUCUGUAACUGACGCUGAGGAGCGAAAGCGUGGGGAGCGAACAGGAUUAGAUACCCUGGUAGUCCACGCCGU
rnacentral:rRNA from 1 species